AGUGAACGCUGGCGGCAGGCCUAAUACAUGCAAGUCGAACGGCAGCACAGCAGAGCUUGCUCUGUGGGUGGCGAGUGGCGGACGGGUGAGGAAUACAUGGGAAUCUGCCCAGUCGUGGGGGAUAACGUAUGGAAACGUACGCUAAUACCGCAUGCGCCCUACGGGGGAAAGCCGGGGACCGAAAGGCCUGGCGCGAUUGGAUGAGCCCAUGUUCGAUUAGCUAGUUGGCGGGGUAAAGGCCCACCAAGGCGACGAUCGAUAGCUGGUCUGAGAGGAUGAUCAGCCACACUGGAACUGAGACACGGUCCAGACUCCUACGGGAGGCAGCAGUAGGGAAUAUUGGACAAUGGGGGCAACCCUGAUCCAGCCAUGCCGCGUGAGUGAAGAAGGCCCUCGGGUUGUAAAGCUCUUUUGUCCGGAAAGAAAAGCAAUCGGUUAAUACCCGGUUGUUCUGACGGUACCGGAAGAAUAAGCACCGGCUAACUACGUGCCAGCAG
rnacentral:rRNA from 1 species